CGACAUUCUUUUUCCACAUCUAUAGAAAGUGCCAAGACAAAUAAUUUUCUGAAAAAAAUGGGAACAUUUUUGAAAAGUGUUGGCAUGGCAGUUUUGGACAAACUGCUCUAGAAUAUGGAGCAUAAGUCUCAACGCCCUGACUUUUUAUAGUUCCUCAGAUCUAGAAAUUUAUACGGACGGAAAUGGACAGAUCGCGGUUUUUAUUAUUUUACGAAAAUUGAAGCAGUAGUCAACCUGCGCUGCAUACAGGCUUAGUCCCAACUAGCACUUAAGGUUCGCGAUGUUCCCAAGUUCAUACAAUCGGGCAGACGGACAAAAGACCAUGGGAAAGCACGACUCGUUUUGUAAUCAUGGACUACAGAGAACUCAUAUACACCCACUUACAAAAAAUCCAAUUUAAUUUUUCGCUGCUCAAGUCACAAAACUAUUGACAAUGAAGACAAACCCGGAUCAAAUAAAACCACAAGUCUUCCAUUAUCCUAGAAAAACUAUGAAAUUUCGCGUUCGCAUUCACACUAGCUGAGUAACGGGUAUCUGAUAGUUGGGCAACUCGACUGUAGCAUUCUCUCUUGUUUUAUCUGAGGUCCACCCAAAUAAUACGCCUCUAAGAGAAGGAAUUGAACAACAUUGUAAAUGAACCAACACCACCAAAAACGAAACAGGACGUAGAAGAUUAAUUGCCCUUCAUACCUAAAAUAUUGGAAAUGUAAAGCGACAGCUAACUGAGCUCGCCAACCGUUGAAAUCCGACGAACAUAGCGUAAGGCUCGGGUGGUUGUUUGAAGAUAUUCCAAGACGCACGCGCAAAGGUCCACCUGCUCCUUGUCGGUUAUGUGGGUGGUGCUCUUGUCCUGGAAUCUCAGCCUUAUUUCAUUGUGACGAUUAUCGAUAUGAUUGCGUGCUACGAGCUUUCGCUCGAUCCUCAACUGUGGUGAAGGAUCAUGUAAUGCCCGUCCUUCCUUGGCCAUUCUAUACAGAAAAUCCCAAAAAGUUAUCAUCCUGAAUGGCCCCUCACAGGGAAUACAUCCUAGUCAGAGUUUUUUUACAGCUAUUAUACGGACGGAAGGAUGAUCUCCUUGGAAAAUAAUUAAAUUAGACAAAAUAGUUUUAGAUUUAAGAAACUUAUCAGACUUGCAACCCAAGAAAUAAUUAAAAAUAAAAUACAUUGCUCUGGGCAUAGAACACCAUA